UCGUAUGUCCUUAUAUUUCGCUCAAUUUGAAUAAAAUUUAUUUCCAUAUUCAUGUUUGUUUUCUUGUUUUUUACAUCUUAAUUUAAAUUUUAGUAACUGUAAUGAUUAUUUAUUUAUUAAUUGAUGUAAUAAAGUACUCAUCUAAUUUAUUAUGCAGUUGUAAAUAACAGUGUAUUGUAAAUAUGUUAUCACAACUUGUAUAUUUGCAGAACUUGAAUUUACGAUCUUUCCGUCCUUUUACAAUUUUUCCCUCCUUUCAGAUCAAUCUGUGAUAUCUUCUCUGUGAUGUCAUUCUUAUAGUAGCUGUGGUUCAAUGUUCAGAUGUGCAUGAAGAGAAUUUACCUGUAACACCUGGGAUUACCUGUGCCGUCCAAGAUGACAAGACCACUGUGUUAUGUUUACCUUGUAUCUGUGAUUUAUUUUUGUGAUUUUUAAUACAAUCUGAGCCAAAAUUCAUUGUCUGUUUUCAUUUUUUCAGUGUUUUCAAGUUUUAUUUCACUUGUAAACACCUGUAAUUAGAAAAUAACAAAGGUUAGAGACAAUGACAAUAAAGAAUAUUAAAGUAUACUUAAUCCUCUUUACAAUGGUAUAUGAUAAAUGUAUAUUAAAAGCAAGUUUCUGGUAGAAAAA